CAGUCUGGGCAACAGAGUGAGACUCUGACAAAAAACAAAAACAAAAACGAAAACAAAAAACUAUAUCAAAGUGAUAUAUUUGUAUAGUGAAACCCCAGACAGUGCCGCUAAGUGAAUGAUGAUAUAAUACUCUUAUUUCUUAUUUUGCUACGAUGUUAGUUUCUCAACAAUCACUCCACCUGCCGGGUUGGUCUUUUUUCCCAUUGGGAUUGGUUUCCCUUAAAUGUCUGGUGAUUCUUCAUUGUUCACAUUUAAUAGUGACACAGGAAGAAGAAGAAAGGAGUCUGUUAUCAUUAGUAAAAGGCUCGUCUAGAGGGUUUUUUUUCCGGGAGUCGAUAGGGUUUCCACAUGUUAGUAAGUGAUGUCUUUGGUUUAGAUGGUUUCCUUUCUCUGGAGAAAAACUUCUCUCCUCUCUGGAAGGCAGGUGCUUGCUGUUGGUUGUCGGUGUUCUACUCACUGGUUACCUGAGGGGUGGGGUGCAGGCAUCAGUGAGGGAGGAUAAUAAGAGUUGACUGUUAAUGUACAGAUUUUAAUCAACCCUCCUGUUUUCUGACGCCUGCCUCACUUCUCCGCCCCUCACCCCCAGGAAGGUCCACAGAUGAUGCUCCUUCUCAAGGCUGCGAGGCCAUCAAAUCACUUUUUUGUCUCUGCUGCUCUCUCUACGUGAUGGAUAACCAUCAUGGUUUCUUGGGAGGGCAAGGAAACAACUGGGUCAGUAUUUGGUCUACCAUCUUUAAGUUGGAAGCUGCUUCUUCCAACUGAAGCUAAAAUAACAAAGCUUCAGAGAGGGUUUUAAAAAUAUCUAGUAUCUCAAUUUUUGGGGACAAUUUGAACAUCUUAAGGCACUAAGUUACUGAGUUUUCUGAAAAGGGUGAUGGGGGAACCAUUAAUUAAUUAAUUAAUCUCUGCUUUGUUUUAAAUAUAUUGCACCAGAUUUGUGUAUUAUAAUUCACACUCAAAAAGUACAGAUUUAAUUUUGAUAGAUUUUCUUUGAAGAAAUAGCUUAACUACUCUUCAGUGCUGCAUUUACGAUGUGGCCAAAUCUUUGAGACAAAAUUAUUUCUCUCUAUGUAAAUUAAGAUGUUGUACUUUGAAAAGUCAUUCCUUUCAGCAUUUUUAGAUCUUUCUCAGUUUUCUUGAACCUUUUGUGCAAGAGUAAUGACCUUAUAUUUCCACAUUAUUCCUAUUAAACACUUAGCUGUGGGCCUGAAGGAAAUGUGCAGCUCUGUUAGAAAAAAGGUGGAGAAGGUAGUAUCGCUAUUCCUCUUUCAUGAAUGGGCAAACAGGUUCAGGAAUUUUCCAGAACUGAGAUUUUCUAUCUUAUAAUUGGGUGUUCUUUGUCUCACAAUGUGCACUUCAUCCUUCUGUAUGGAUUUCUUUGCUGAGGCUGACUGUGAAUUUCGGCUCUCACAUGCUAAGUACACAUUAAUUUCUCUUAUCCUUUGUUCCCACAUAGUGUACGAGUGAUUUUGAGAGGGUCCUGUAUGGCAUGGUCCUCAGGUGCUUGGCAAAAUGGAUCCAUUCUCUCCCAGAUUUCAGAGGAGAGCCUGGUGUCACUUACAGCAGACAUUGCAGAUGCCUCAGCAUUUCAGAUGAAGACGGUGCAAGUGGAGCCGUGCGGUCCUGCACUGAAGCCCUGCAGUCCUGACUUCUGAGUGGAGCUAGAGGAGAAUUAUAUUAAUGUGUUUGCACUACUUGCUCAAUUGUAAAGCAUAACAAAUAUAUUUAAGGCAUGUUUUUAAAAUGAGAAUAAAAUAGUUUAACAAUGUUUACACACCUAUUUUAGUUAUUACAUUCUCUAAUCUAUUUUUAUCCUCACAACCAUGGAAGCGCUCCACCAUCUCCAUUUCAGAAAGUAGACAGUAACUGAACAACACUAUCUUCUUUUAAAAAACAUUUAUUUCAUUAUGAAAGUUUAUGGUUUAUGUAAUUAAUACCUUUUUGUGGUCUGCAUUCAAUGGGUGUGGGCAUCUGCACACUGUCGUGGGUCCACUAUUGUGAAAUCGCACACAGUGGUCUCACUGCCCUAAACAGCCAGGGCUCUCUGUCCAUCCAUCCUUUCCUCUCCCCAACCCCUGUCAACCACUGAUCAUUUUGCUAUCUAUGUAAUUUUCCCUUUUCCAAAAUGUCACAUAAUGCCCACAACAAUGAAUGCGAGUUUCUUUUGCUCCACAUCCUCACCAGCAUUUGGUGUUUUUGGUCUUGUGGAUUUUGGCCAUUCUAAUAGGUAUGUAGUGGUAUCUUACUGUUGUCUUAAUUGGCAAUUCCUAAUAACACAUUAUACAGAGCAUCUUUUCAUAUGCUUAAUUUCCAUCUGCAUAUCUGUUCAGCUUUUGCCCAUUUUUAAUUGAGUUGUUUGUUUUCUUAUUGAGUUUUAAGGGUUCUUUGCAUAUUUCAGAUAUGAAUCCUUAGAUAUAUUUUUCAAAUAUUUUCUCACAGUCUCUGAUUUGUCUUUUUAUUCUCUUAACAGUAUCUUUCACAAAACUAAAGUUUUUUUAUGUUAAAAGUCAACUUCCCAAUAUUUUUCUUCGUGGAUAAUGCUUUUGGUGUUGUAUCGAAAAGAAUCUCCAAAUCCAAAGUUAUCUAGAGUUUUUCCUUAUGUUAUCUUCUAGGAGUUUGAAAAUUUUGCAUUUCAUAUAUUGAUCUAAUAUCUACUUUGCAUUAACUUUUGUAAAAGGUGUAAGGUCUGUUUAUAGAUUCUUUUUUUUUUUUUUUUGCACAUGGAUGUCCAUUUGUUCCAGCACCAUUUGUUAAAAAGACUCUCCUCUCUCCAUUGAAUUGCCUUUGCUCCUUUGUCAGAGAUCAGCUGGCUGUAUUUCAGUCUGUUUCUGGGCUCUCUGUUUUGUUUCACUGAUGUAUGUGUAUAUGUCUUCUGUUUUGCCUUCAGUUAAAAAAUAUGUAAUUGCUCCCUCAAUUUACUUAUGAAUUCUCAUUUGUAAACAGAAAAGCAUAAAUUAAUGCCGGAGUAUAUUUUAGAGUAGAUGUUGCCUUGAAUACAAUGAGCAGAAUGAGUUAUAAUUUUAAAGUGAAUAUAAAAAUUUGACCAUAGUGGUAACAGAUUUGCAAACUAGUGAUAUCAAUGACAGAGUCCAUUGCAAUAUUGCUUUAUCCUUUGGCUCAGCUGUGCUUCACACCAGGUAACUACCAAUCCCUUUUGUGAUUCGUGCAAGGAUUUCUGUGGGGUGGAAAGUAGAAAUAUGAUAUCAGUGGAGGGAGAGAAGGCAGUUUCCCAGACUGGGAGCAGUCAGAUCUCCAGUGGGUCCCAACACUGCUCUGUGGCAAUACCUAGAGGGUGAUGGAAACAGAGACAGGGUGCAAAUGAGGUGGGUGCUGGCCCUAGGGUUCCCAGUGUUUCCUGGUUCCCAUGGUCUAUAAGACGUCCGAAAUGAGACCUUCCGGGCUUUGGGGGGCCCCUGUGGAAUUGGAAAAUGAGGAAGUGAGCAGUGACAAUCUAGACUGAUUAUUAGAGGUACGUCUCUCAUUUUUCAGCAACCAAGGAGCCUUUGAUUAGUAGUGAAAUUGUGGCACCCCAACAAUGGUGGAGUGGAAUGUCCUGCCACUCUGGAGGGGUGAUGGCUCAGGGUCAAGACUGAACUAAUUAGAAAAAGAAAUGCACUCCAGGAAUAUCAAGUCCAAAACGAAGCUCUUCAAACUAUCUGGGAAGAGAAAACAGCAUGACAAGGAAAGGUAUAUUUGUCUGAUCCCAGGAAUCAAUAUAAACAUCCAUGAUAACCCCACCUAUUUUUUACAUAUAUGAUUUGGAUGAAACAAGAGAAAGAGACUGAUUGUUGCUGAGUCCCUGCUGCAGUCCUGACACAGCUGGAGAUGCCCUGCUCCCCUGCUCCCCUGCUUCCCCGCUCUCCUGCUCUCCUGCUCUCCUGCUCUCCUGAUCUCUUUAUUUUGUUGAUGCUCAUGAGGACCCUGAUGUCUGAGGAAGAAGGUUCCUGUCCAGCUCUGCCCCUGGUGUGUCACGUGCCGGCCUUGUCAACGCACACGAGAACCUGACAGGAGCAUCCUUGAAAUGAUUGACUCAACCAUGAGAGAAACACUGUAAAUAUUCUCAGAUGCAAACUCACAGUACCAGCGUCACAGAACACCUGCAGCUGCAAGUAACUAAAAAUCCAGCUCAAUUUGACUUUAAAUACAAGGGAAUUUAUUGACUUAGGUGGGUAGUUCAGAAGCAGGCCAGGCUUCAGGGUGAAUCUGAGCACAGAAGCUCAUGGAUGCUACCAGGACUCAGUCUCUUCCCAAUUUUCUGCUCUGCCUUCAGUGAAGUCAGAAUCAUUCUGCGUGUGGCAAAAUCUCCAGGAACAAUUUCUGAGGUUGCUUUCUUCACCAAAGAGGGAGCAUGAACAAGCACACUCUUGUUCCUAACAACCUAGCACAACUUGUAUUUGACUCUAAUUGGAACAACUCAGAUCCUUGCCCAUCCCCAAGUCCAUUGGGGGACCAAGGGAGUGCUGUGUGGCACCUGGCAUGAGCCUCAGUUAUGCACCCACUUUGGAACCAAUAACUGUGACACAGGGUGAGACAGUGCUGGUUAAGUCAACCAGGACCCACCGCAUGUUUCAAACCAUGUGACUGAAUAAUUCAGGGCUCUGUUAGGAAGGAGAAAGGGGGAUGCUUCUUAAAUAGCACCCAACACUCAACUAUAAUUUAAUUUGACAGGAACCCGGAGGCCCUGCCAUAGAAAUCUCUCACAGUUGCUUGGAAUGAGAGCACUCAAUACAAAAAUCCUAUGGCAGCAACCCUAUGGCCUUAAGGGCACCACGCAUUUGGUGUGGAGGGUGGGGCAAGGAGGGUGGAGAAGGGCUCAGGGUCUUCUGAAGAUGAAGCCAAAGAACAGAUGGCACUGACUUAGCAGAGUGGAAAAUGUUUAACCCCAAGAGAUGCCUACAGAGGCAGCUAAGCCACACCACAGACUCCUAGAAGGGCUUGUGUUAGGGUUCCCAAGUGUCUAGGUAAGCAGAGGAGAUGCUGAGGCAGACACAGAGGGUCGGUUCAAAGCACAUUGGGAAGACUGUGAUCCCAAGACCCCUCAGUCCACACUGGCAGUCAAAUGCUCCUCCCUGACAUUGGGAAAAGAAACAAUUUAUUUUCUUCAGAUAUUGAAACAGAACUUUUCUAACCUCCAGGACACUGGAUAAUGCUGCUUAUGCAAAGACAGUAUUUAGUGAAAGCCAAUUUACUGAGCAGGGAGAUCUUCAGACUCUUUCUCCCUCUUGGCUCCCAGAAUGCUGGGGUCAGCUUGCAGUCUUAGGAGAUUGGCGACCUCUUUUUGGAGAGGAUCUGCAGAUACCAACAUUUUCAGGGUUUCCUCAGGUCCAGGAGUGCCAGGCUCCUGUGGACUCUUCCUUUGGGGAAGCAAAA